UGACGGGUAGGGGGUGUGAGAGCAUGACCCCCCACAUGGGAACUGAGACACGGUCCCAACUCCUACGGGAGGCAGCAGUCUAGAAAUUUGGGCAAUGGGCGAAAGCCUGACCCAGCGACGCCGCGUAAGGGAUGACGUCCUUCGGGAUGUAAACCUUUGUUGAGGGGGACGAUAAUGACGGUACCCCUCGAGGAAGCCUCGGCUAACUCCGUGCCAGCAGCCGCGGUAAAACGGAGGAGGCAAGCGUUGUCCGGAAUCACUGGGCGUAAAGGGUGUGUAGGUUCCUGAUGGGUCAGAUGUGAAAUCCAACCGCUCAACGGUUGAACUGCAUUUGAAACUAUCAGGAUAGAGGACAUUAGGGGAGAGUGGAACUCGCGGUGUAGCGGUAGAAUGCGUGGAUAUCGCGAGGAAUGCCGAUGGCGAAGGCGGCUCUCUAGGAUGUUCUUCGUAAGAAGAGUCAUUCAGUUCAGAUCUUCGGAUUAAGAUUGAAUGGUCCUGACACUGAAACACGAAAGCUGGGGGAGCGAACGGGAUUAGAUACCCCGGUAGUCCCAGCCGUAAACGAUGUGCACUUGGCAUAUGCUAGCAAUAGUGUGUGCCGUAGGUAACCUGUUAAGUGCACCGCCUGGGGAGUAUGCUCGCAAGGGUGAAACUCAAAGGAAUUGACGGGGACCCGCACAAGCGGUGGAGGAUGUGGUUUAAUUCGAGGCCACGCGAAGAACCUUACCUGGGUUUGACAUGCUGAUAGUACAGAGCCGAAAGGCAACGGAUCUCACCUUUGGUGAGAAGUCAGCACAGGUGCUGCAUGGCUGUCGUCAGCUCGUGCCGUGAGGUGUUAGGUUAAGUCCUGUAACGAGCGCAACCCCUGCUUUUAGUUGCCAUUUUGUCUUCGGAUGAAGGCACUCUAAGAGGACUGCCGCAGAUAAUGUGGAGGAAGGUGGGGAUGAUGUCAAGUCAUCAUGGUCUUUAUACCCAGGGCUACACACGUCCUACAGUGCCUAUUACAGCGGGAAGCCAAACCGAAAGGUGGAGCAGAUCCUACAAAGAUAGGCACGGUUCGGAUUGAGGGCUGCAAUUCGCCCUCAUGAAGGCGGAAUCGCUAGUAAUCGCAGAUCAGCACGCUGCGGUGAAUACGUUCUCGGGUCUUGUACACACCGCCCGUCAAGCCAUGGAAGUCCACAAUACCUGAAGUCUCUCCUCGUGAGGGCCCAAGGUAGGGUGGAUGACUGGGGCUAAGUCGGAACAAGGUA
rnacentral:rRNA from 1 species